GCUAGAGUUCAGAAGUGAGUGGUCUGGAUUCAGAAGACUGCCAGAAGCUAAGUGAGGUACAUCACAAAGGAACACAGGACUGUGAGCUAGAACAGGAGAGUGAAUGUUCGCUGGGGCCUUCCAGAAGACAGUUCAGUCUUAGCAAACUGGCCAGGAAGGAUUUUCAUCAAGAUGGAGGAAAAACCUGGAGAUCUUUGGCUCAAAGGACAUGACCUAAUUCUACAGAUGAAUCUGUACUGACGUUAGAAAACCACUGGUGGAACAUAAAACUUGUACAUUCUUCUAAAAAUGAAGGUAGAUCACAGCAGACUCAAUCUAUUUAUAGCCAGUCAUAUCAACAUUACUGAUUGGGAAUUACCAAAAGAGGUGAAAUUAUUUAACAAAUCCUUUGUUAAGUCAUAUUCUGAACCUACAGAUGUCAAUUUCAGGUGUUUAUUUUUUAAAUAAAGAUAAUUAAAACACUAAAAA